rnacentral:rRNA from 1 species
CUAGAAAAGAUUUUUCAUAUGUCUUACUCGCCCGUACCGUAAACCGACACAGGUGGGUGAGUGUAAAUGCACUAAGGCGCGCGAGAGAGACCUCUCUAAGGAACUCGGCACAUUAGCCUCGUAACUUCGGGAAAAGAGGUGCUCACUUCGGUGAGCCACAGUAAAUUGCGUUUAGCGACUGUUUAACAAAAACACAGCACUCUGCUAAGUCGUUAAGACGACGUAUAGGGUGUGACACGUGACCAAUGCGGAAAGAUUAAGGCAUUUUGUUAGCCGCAAGGCGAAGCUCGGUGCCAAAGUCCCCGUGAAUGUCGGCCGUAACUAUAACGGUCCUAAGGUAGCGAAAUUCCUUGUCGGGUAAGUUCCGACCUGCACGAAUCGUGUAACGACUGAACGACUGUCUCGGAGAGGAUCUCGGCGAAACUGUAACUGCGGUGAAGAUGCCGCAUGCCCGCAGUAGGACGGAAAGACCCUAUGCACCUUUACUGUAAGCUGGUAUUGUGUUCUGAUUAAUAAUGCGUAGCGUAGGUGGGAGGCUUUGAAGUGAGUGCUUCGGUGCUCAUGGAGCCGCAAUGUGAAACACCACUCUUUGCUAAUUAGGAUUCUAACCUCGAUUCCUGUCAACCAGGCGAGGGACAGUGCUUGCGGGUCAGUUUGACUGGGGCGGUUUCCUCCCAAAGAGUAACGGAGGAGCGCGAAGCUUGGCUCAGCACGGUUGGCAACCGUGCGUCGAGCGUAUGGGUAUAAGCCAGGUUAACUGUGAGACCUACAAGUCGAGCAGAUGCGAAAGCAGGCCCAAAUGAUCCGAUGGUUUAAUGUGGAAUUGCCAUCGCUCAACGGACAAAAGGUACGCUAGGGAUAACAGGCUGAUCGGUUCCAAGAGUUCGCAUCGACGAACCGGUUUGGCACCUCGAUGUCGGCUCAUCGCAUCCUGGGGCUGGAGAAGGUCCCAAGGGUCCGGCUGUUCGCCGGUUAAAGCGGUACGCGAGCUGGGUUCAGAACGUCGUGAGACAGUUCGGUCCUUAUCCACUGUGGGCGCAGGAAUCUUGAGGGGUUCAUUCUCUAGUACGAGAGGACCGAGAAUGACGCACUUCUGGUGUGGCAGUUGUUCCAUCAGGGGCAUCGCUGCGUAGCCAUGUGCGGAAGAGAUAAGCGCUGAAAGCAUCUAAGUGCCAAGCUCAUCCCAAGAUAUGGAUUCCCGGACGCAAGUCCCUAAAGACCCCCGGCAGACUACCGGGUUGAUAGGUCAGGCAUGUAAGCGUCGCGAGAUGUUUAGUGGACUGAUACUAAUUGGUCGUGCGGCUUGAUCGC